rfam:Triticum aestivum genome assembly, contig: Triticum_aestivum_CS42_TGACv1_scaffold_000695_1AL
CUUGUACUCCCUCCGUCCAAAAAUACUUGUCAUUGAAAUGGAUGUAUCUAGAUGUAUUUUAGUUCUAGACACAUCCAUUUUGAUGACAAGUAAUUCCGGACAGAGGGAGUACUUG